UAUAGAGGUCUCAAGCGUUGUUCGGAUUCAUUGGGCGUAAAGGGUGCGUAGGCGGCGCGGUAAGUCGGGUGUGAAAUCUCGGAGCUUAACUCCGAAACUGCAUUCGAUACUGCCGUGCUUGAGGACUGGAGAGGAGACUGGAAUUUACGGUGUAGCGGUGAAAUGCGUAGGUAUCGUAAGGAAGACCAGUGGCGAAGGCGGGUCUCUGGACAGUUCCUGACGCUGAGGCACGAAGGUCAGGGGAGCAAACGGG
rnacentral:rRNA from 1 species